AAAACCAAGGCAUGAUGUCGAAGGAAUUGUAUGGAGAGCGCUGAGACAGGAUUGUGUUGAGGCACAGAUCUGGGAAGGGUACCAAAACAUUUCUGCAGUGUUGAAGGUCCAAGAACACAGUGGCCUCAAUCCCCUCUUAUAUGUAAAGUCCUCAUAUUUGGGGACCCUAUUUGUUUUCAUUUAUUCAAUUCAGUUUGGAAUGAGAAUGGUAGCCCCUACAGUAUCUGCAGAAGCAGGGUGUCUGAGGAAAGCUGAAUAUCUUAAUCGCAAUUGAUCGGUGCCUUCAAAUCUUUUGUGACUUACAACCAUAUAUGGGAAUACAAAUUUGUAAGGCCAGGCCUAUGACCUCUUUCAAGAUGGCUGCUACCUAAAUUCCGGUUAGUGUUGUGAAGCCUAAACGAAAUAAACACGGAAUACCUUGAUACACACCGAAAGCCGGAGCUCCACAGAUCACGAGGACAUCUUAUUGUUUGCCUGUGACCUACCGUUAUUUAUCACCAGCCAAGAGAGUCAAAAUGUUGGUUUUUACUAAACGUUUUCACCAAACAGCAACCAUCUUACAAGAUUUUUCUUAUCGGCCGACAAAGAUUGCUUUCUAGAAGGAGUGGAUCCACUUUUAGAUCUAGCGGAGGAUGCAGAGGAUUUGGAUGAUGACUAUUGGGAGCCAACAGGGGGAAGAAAGCUGUCACCAUGGGUGACAUGCUCAACUACAUUUCCUUGGUGAUUUACAUGGGACUGGUAAAGGUACUAGUUGACAACUGGAGCAAGUCCCCACUCUAUCGAUUUGAGUUCCUCACCUCCAUCAUGAGUGAAAACCGAUUAUUGGUCAUCAACCGUACUCUUCACAUGAGUGCCAGACAAAAGGAUCAGGAUUAUGACCAGGAGGGGACUGCAGGGUAUGAUCGUCUUGCAAGAGUCAAGCCCCUUUAUGGUGGAGGCAUGCAAAACGUACUUCCAGCCUGCUCAAAAUCGAUCUAUAGAUGAGUACAUGGAUGCGUCAACGGCUCCAAAAGGCUUGAACCAAUAUAUGAAAAAUAAGCCAACCAAAUGCUCUUUGUGCUAGCCGAUUCUGCCUACACGUGGCAGUAGAUUAAAAAGUUCCGCGUCUGCUCCUCCCCUCCGGCGUACAACGUCACCAGAAUACUGACUGCCGGUCCUGUGAAUCAUUCAUUCACACCUGGACUCCAUGACCUUCGUCAUUUCCUCCGCUUUGUGUCUCUCUCCCAUGUUCACCCACCAGUUGGUAUUGUUAUUGUGUAUCGGUGAACUACCUUGUGUUAGUGUCGUGUUCUUGGUUUUGUUGUAUUAUUAAAACAUUUCACCUGCACCUG